rnacentral:tRNA from 1 species
GCGCACUUAGAUCAAAUGGUAAGAGCAUCACUCUUGAAAGUUGAGGUUGUGGGUUCAAUUCCCACAGUGCACA